UGCGGAGGUGAAAUUUCCUCAUAGUGGGACUAAUAAGGGUCUCUUUAUCUUAAUAAUUGUUGUGGAUAAACAUGUGGAGGAGAUUAUAGCACUGGACAGUGAGGAUGAGAAUGAUGAGGGUGCGAAUUUCUACACAGAUCCAAGUCCUUUGAGUAAGUCUAAUUUAAAUGAUUUUUAUACUUUUCUACAUCUGUCUACAAAGUCCUAAUUGUAUGUUUCUCUUUUAGAUUUCAGUCAGGAUUCCUAUGAGCUUUACCAACCAACUUCUCCAAGACGUGAAAUAGAUCAAGACGAGGGUGCGAAUUUCUCGAAGUCCAUUGAAUUUCAGUCAGGAUUCCCACCAGGAACCAUUCUGGCAGGAAGAUGUCAAUGACAGUUAUAAUUUCCGAUAUCUCUCAAGGGCUGUCGAAUUGUCUCUACAAAAACUGAAACACGUUACUGCGCAUGGAUCAAGGCAUUUUUCUGCCUUUUCCAAGUUUAAAGAACACGUAAAUCUGUUUAUUAAUUAUUGUAAUAGAUGGUAAGAAUCAAAUGGCUCAGAAACGCCCUGGCAGUGAUCUUUUUAAUGAUGCUAAGAAGCCUAACAUCACCCCUUUUUCAAACACCCCAAAUCAGUUAGUGUCUGUACCGAAUCAUGAUUUAUCAAGUUUACAAAAUACUCUUAUCGAACACAACACGUCCACAACUGUGAAUCCUUUUCUAAUAAAUGCGGUGAACUGGCUUAA